rnacentral:lncRNA from 1 species
CUGAAGUGUUGAACAGUUUCUCCUUGCUAUGAGAAUUAUCUCUAUUUCCUUCAUAGAAAUUCCAGUAUCUGACUACACGUGAGAACAGAAAAGAUUUUCCCUGAAGACUGACACUUGGAUAUUGCUUGGUGUGAAUGCUGAGUUACUGCAGCAAUGUCAGUGCGGAAUCACACAACUGUGUCUGAGGUCUGGGUCAUCUGACAAGUGUAAAAUAAUCAGCAUUCAUACAUUCCUUCUCCGGUUGAUUAUAUCUUCCAAAAUAACUGUGCAACAAGGUUCCAUAUUUGGCUUGAUGGAAGUUUCUGGAAUGUGUCUGGAGUAAGAAUUUCUCUUCCCAUGGAUCAGGUUGGUACCUCCGUAGGUGUAAGCCAGCAUAGUUCU